UGUUGUAUGACCAAAAUGUGACUGAAAACAUCUGAUCUCGUCCUCGUAGGCACUCAUCGCCGCAGUCCCCAUCCACAUAAAAUGAAAAUGGGGAACUCAUAUGAAUUCUUAAUAAUGGUGAAAACUCCCCUUAUGUUUAUUGCUUGGAAGUUUUCCCCAAGGACAGUCGAUUCAUGUUUUGACUUGAAUUGGAAAAAACCUGAAACAUCUUACAUGGUGUGCCUUAUACGAUCUCAGUCAAAGUAGUGGUUCUUUUGGGCUAUGUACCCAAAACAAAUAGCUCUCAUACUUUCAUGGCCAUCUUUCUCUCUUGCUUUUGUUCUUUAAUAGCACACUGCUACAAGUCUAAAUUGUUUAAUUAAUUGCAGAAGCAACAAAGAGAGCUGUUGCGUGUUCUUCUAUUUCUUUUUUUGUUUUGGUUACAAGUUGUUGACAUGUUUUUCAUUUAUGAAUUGAUCAAUGCUUGUGACCGAAAUUUGAUUUCAACUGUUCAAAAAAACAAAAAGAAAAGCGUUAAAAACAGUAGUAUAAAGCUUAUAGAUAUAAUUACACAAAAUCCACCACCGAAAAGAUAUUGGAAAAAUUAUAAAUUAAUAACAAUUUUUGUCUCUAAUGUCGGCAAAAUUACAUUACACCUGGUUACACUACAAGGAUUUCAGAAAUAUUUAGAACUCGUUCUACAUGACAACUCGUGAUUGGAUUAAACUAUACUAGCAUUACUUUUAUUUUUUAUAUUUAAUUUUUGGUUAAAAAAUUAUUGAGAGGGACACUGCUUAAAAUUUGGUGCGAGGUAGAAACAUGAGCCCACUGAUAAGGUAUUACAUGAUACUCCUAUCAGAAAAAUCACAGUGUCACUUUUUGCAUACUCUCAAUAAGAAGAUCAUGAUGACCAAAAUCCAUUGGGCAGUUUUUUACAGGAUUUGCUUAUAAUUUAGAGUUCAAAAAGUUAGAGCAAAAGAAAAGAGCUGAACCCAACCCAACAGCUGGGUUCCAGAAAUGACCACGACCUCGGGACCCCCAUGUUCUUCCUCAAUCUCUCUCUUUCACCGCUUUUACUUUCUCUCGUAAAAGCAAAUGAUUAUGUUCAUCGUCAUCAACAAUAUAUCACACGAAACCCGCAAAAGAAUUGUUGUAUUGAAGGAAAGAAGAGCGGAAAAGUGAAGAAGGAAGAUCAUAUGCAGGUGGGAAGCUUUUCUCGUUGAGGGGAAUGCUGUCUGGUUCAAGAGCACCCAACUCUCCAUCUAUUUUGAUCUGUUUCGACCCUAAAACUGAUUAGCUUUCAAGAUCAAUCGAAAGAUAGUCUUACUCCCUGUUUAAUUUGUGCUUUUGGACCAGGCUUCAUUCCCCUUAAUUACUGCUUCCACUUUUAAUAUUUUUACAUGAAAGUGCAGUGGUUUUAUUCUUGGAUUUUAUCGAUCAUCAGUAGCAUGAUUAGUUUAACAGUUAGCUACAGGUCUCUCGGGGAAAUCAAAAGGAAGAAUAAUAGAAAGCUGACUAGUUUCCUAAUUCCUAUACUACAUAUUAAAUUAAGGAUUUCGCUACAUCUUGUUGCUGGUGGUAGUUGGUGGAUUUGCAGGAGGCUCUAUCAUCUCGACCUCUUGGCACUAAUAAUUCAUGUUUGUGUUGGAAUCAAGUACAUUAAAUUGCAUUUUUAUUUUUUUGGAGGCCUUCGUGGAAGACAAAGAGCCCAGCUUAAGAUUUGAAGCUUCAUCAAGUGGAUAUAUAUUCUCCAGAAUUGAUUCCAUUCAGUUGUGCUUGCUUUCUUUAUGUUAAAAAGAGGUAUCUUUCUGUUCCUAUCUUUUGAAACUCCUUUUCAUGGCCUUUUAUUUUUUCUUGUGGAUGGAAAUCUAUCUCAUCUAGACAUUAUUCCUUGGAUCAA